ensembl:lncRNA
CUACACAUACUACUACUGAGAUGCCAGUGAUCCUGACCCCUUCUGCUCUCCAUACCUGCCUGAUCCAUCCUGAUGCCCUACAUCUGGUUGAGUUCUCAUCACUUGGAAAUCACUCACUGUUGCUGGGUGCAGCCUAAAGAUACUUGCCAACUCCCAUUCAGUCUGUUCAGAGAGAAGAAAUAUGGUGGGAAACUGUAAUGUCCCAGCGCAUCCAGAUAAUUUUUGUGCUCGCAACAAAACAUGAUGUGCUUCGGAAAGAAUGUAGCAACAAGAAAUGCAAUGAAACAAGCAGCGCUUUUCCAAUAUGGAGUCAUUUAUUACUGAUGAAGGGGAUGAAGCUGGACACAGAAUUAGCGAUGCUGCUCCUGGACAGGGUCAUGGUGAAUGAAAUCAUGUGAAUCAUGCUUUCUGAGUUGUCCAAAAAACAAACAGACAAACAAACAAAAAAAACCCAACCCUUCUCCUGGCUUCACACAUGCAAUGCUCCUGGGAAGAGUGAACACGACUGAAAGGUUUCCUGCAUGCCUUAAGAGAAGUCAGGAAACAGACAUGGGGCAUUCUGGUGGGAAGCAGGCAGUAGGUCGGUGACAUCCUAGCCGGAUGUGGUGGCAGAGCUGGGAUGGACUUGCCGGGGUUAGGAAGCGGAGCUGGGACAUGCUCUCUGGAGUCAGAUGGUGGGGCUGUCGGCCCCUGGCGUGAGCAGGUCAUGGGAGGCUGCGCCGUUAGCCUCAGGUCAUGGGAAGCUGCACCAUCUGCUUCUGGCAUGAGCAGGAGUGAUGGGUCUGCCUCGUCAGCCUCUGGCGGGUGCUCGGCUGUGGAAGGAGCUCUGUGGGGAGGCCGCGCUGUUGAUUACUGGCUGGAGCUCUGCUGGACACUUCACUUCCUUUGUAUCCAGUUCUCCUCUCCUUGUAGUUAAUUGUGAAGGGCCAAGCAGGUUCAGCCAUCAGGCCCUCACCAAACAAUUUUCAAAUUUCAAGAUCGGGCUUAAACUCUGCCCACCCGAACACCACUCUAAGGAGGUGUACAAACUCCGCUAUGCUUCCUAGGCCUAGGUUCCCCGUGGCACCCAGGAGCUCCACCGACACUGCUACAUCCAUGGUGAAGGCAGAGUAUUCUUUCAGGAAUGGAGCGGUGAGAUGAAUGCAAAUGCAGUUAAGGCUUUUAUUAGAAAGGCAGGCGGACAAAUCCAAAACAUGAAACCAAAUUAAGAAUAUGUGUAUGUGACCCAUAAAUAAAAAUGUUGAAAAUCUUAAGGUGACACAAUCACCAAACAACAAUGUCAGGAGAUAUCCAAAUUACAUAAAACAGGAGACAGAAGACAUCAAGAACUGGGAUACAUCAACAUAGAAUAAAAUGGCUCAGUAAAGUCAGACAGGUAUACUGAAC